UUUGAUCCUGGCUCAGAUUGAACGCUGGCGGAUGCUUUACAUGGCGUAAGUCGAACGGGCAGCACGGACUUCUCGGUCUGGUAUGAGUGGUGAACGGGUGAGUGGUCGUAUCGGAACGUGCCUAGUGGAUAACUCCAUGAGCAGAAGCAUUACCGCAUACGCCUCGGGGAAAGCGGGGGACCUUCGGGCCUCGCACUAUUGAGCGGCCGAUAUCGGAUUAGCUAGUUGGUGGGGUAACGGCUCACCAUGACGAUCCGUAGCUGGUUUGAGAGGACGACCAGCCACACUGGGACUGAGACACGGCCCAGACUCCUACGGGAGGCAGCAGUGGGGAAUUUUGACAAUGGGGAAACCCUGAUCCAGCCAUCCCGCGUGUGCGAUGAAGGCCUUCGGGUUGUAAAGCACUUUUUGGCAGGAAGUGAAACGGCAGCACGGGAUAAUACCCCUGUGCAACUGACGGUACCUGCAGAAUAAGCACCGGCUAACUACGCCGCCAGCAGCCGCGGUAAUACGUAGGUGCAAGCGUUAAUCGGAAUUACUGGGCGUAAAAGCGUGCGCAGGUUCGGAAAGAAAGAUGAAAUCCCCAGAGCUUAACUUUGGAACUGCAUUUUUAACUACCGAGCUAGGAGUGUGUCAGAGGGAGGUGGAAUCCGCGUAGCAGUGAAAUGCGUAGAUAUGCGGAGAACACCGAUGGCGAAGGCAGCCUCCUGGGAUAACACUGACGCUCAUGCACGAAAGCGUGGGGAGCAAACAGGAUUAGAUACCCGUAUUCACGCUCAAACGGGAUGUCAAUUCAGCUGUUGGGGCCUUCGGGCCUUUGGUAGGCAGCUAGUAAGGACCGUCUGGGGGACAUAUUCGCAAGAUUAAAACAAGGAAUUGACGGGGACCCGCACAAGCGGUGGAUGAUGUGAUUAAUUCGAUGUAACGCGAAAAAACCUUACCUACCCUUGACAUGUCUGGAAUCCCGAAGAGAUUUGGGAGUGCUCGCAAGAGAACCGGAACACAGGUGCUGCAUGGCCGUCGUCAGCUCGUGUCGAGAUGCUGGGUUAAGUCCGCAACGAGCGCAACCUGGCUGGCUAUUGCUACGAAAGGGCAAUUUAAUGAGACUGCCGGUGACAAACCGGAGGAAGGUGGGGGGAUGUCAAGUCCUCAUGGCCCUUAUGGGUAGGGCUUCACACGUCAUACAAUGGUCGGGACAGAGGGUCGCCAACCCGCGAGGGGGGAGCCAAUCCCAGAAACCCGAUCGUAGUCCGGAUCGCAGUCUGUACUGACUGCGUGAAGUCGGAAUCGCUAGUAAUCGCGGAUCAGCAUGUCGUCGCGGUGAAUACGUUCCUGGGUCUUGUACACACCGCCCGUCACACCAUGGGAGUGGGUUUCACUGUAGAAGUAGUUAGCCUAACCGUAAGGAGGGCGAUUACCACGGAUCUAUGACUGGGGUGAAGUCGUAACAAGGUAG
rnacentral:rRNA from 1 species